rnacentral:rRNA from 1 species
UACGUAGGGGUCUAGCGUUGUCCGGAAUUAUUGGGCGUAAAGAGCGUGUAGGCGGCCUGACAGGUCUGCUGUGAAAACUCGAGGCUCAACCUCGAGAUGUCGGCGGAAACCGUAUGGCUAGAGUCCGGAAGAGGAGAGUGGAAUUCCUGGUGUAGCGGUGAAAUGCGCAGAUAUCAGGAAGAACACCCGUGGCGAAGGCGGCUCGCUGGGACGGUACUGACGCUGAGACGCGAAAGCGUGGGGAGCGAACAGG